UAGGGAAUCUUCCACAAUGGACGAAAGUCUGAUGGAGCAACGCCGCGUGAGUGAAGAAGGUUCUCGGAUCGUAAAACUCUGUUGUGAGGGAAGAACAAGUACCGGAGUAACUGCCGGUACCUUGACGGUACCUCAUUAGAAAGCCACGGCUAACUACGUGCCAGCAGCCGCGGUAAUACGUAGGUGGCAAGCGUUGUCCGGAAUCAUUGGGCGUAAAGCGCGCGCAGGCGGUCCCUUAAGUCUGAUGUGAAAGCCCACGGCUCAACCGUGGAGGGUCAUUGGAAACCGGGGGACUUGAGUGCAGAAGAGGAAAGCGGAAUUCCAAGUGUAGCGGUGAAAUGCGUAGAGAUUUGGAGGAACACCAGUGGCGAAGGCGGCUUUCUGGUCUGUAACUGACGCUGAGGCGCGAAAGCGUGGGGAGCAAACAGGAUUAGAUACCCUGGUAGUCCACGCCGUAAACGAUGAGUGCUAAGUGUUAGGGGGUUUCCGCCCCUUAGUGCUGCAGCUAACGCAUUAAGCACUCCGCCUGGGGAGUACGGUCGCAAGACUGAAACUUAAAUGAAUUGACGGGGGUCAUAGCUGUUUCCUG
rnacentral:rRNA from 1 species